rfam:Pyrenochaeta sp. DS3sAY3a unplaced genomic scaffold IQ07scaffold_26, whole genome shotgun sequence.
UCCCAGAUAGUAUAGUGGCCAGUAUUCCGGCUUGUCAAGUAUGACAACUCGCCGGAGACCGAGGUUCAAAUCCUCGUCUGGGAG